CGGACGAGGCCCCUUCGGGGACUGAGUUAGUGGCGAACGGGUGAGUAACGCGUGAGGAACCUGCCUUUCAGUGGGGGACAACAGUUGGAAACGACUGCUAAUACCGCAUGAAGCAAUUGAACCGCAUGAUUUGAUUGCCAAAGAUUUAUUGCUGAAAGAUGGCCUCGCGUCUGAUUAGCUAGUUGGUGGGGUAACGGCCCACCAAGGCGACGAUCAGUAGCCGGUCUGAGAGGAUGAACGGCCACAUUGGGACUGAGAUACGGCCCAGACUCCUACGGGAGGCAGCAGUGGGGAAUAUUGGGCAAUGGGGGAAACCCUGACCCAGCAACGCCGCGUGAAGGAAGAAGGCUUUCGGGUUGUAAACUUCUUUUACCAGGGACGAAGAAAGUGACGGUACCUGGAGAAAAAGCCACGGCUAACUACGUGCCAGCAGCCGCGGUAAUACGUAGGUGGCAAGCGUUGUCCGGAUUUACUGGGUGUAAAGGGCGUGUAGGCGGAGAUUCAAGUCAGGAGUGAAAUCUAUGGGCUUAACCCAUAAACUGCUUUUGAAACUGAAUCCCUUGAGUAUCGGAGAGGCAGGCGGAAUUCCUAGUGUAGCGGUGAAAUGCGUAGAUAUUAGGAGGAACACCAGUGGCGAAGGCGGCCUGCUGGACGAACAACUGACGCUGA
rnacentral:rRNA from 1 species